rnacentral:misc_RNA from 1 species
UCCUAGUUAACCUAGGCAGUCUCAUUAGAGUCCCCACCUCAAAGUGUUGGCAACUAAUGAUAAGGGUUGCGCUCGUUGCGGGACUUAACCCAACACCUCACGGCACGAGCUGACGACAGCCAUGCAGCACCUGUUCAGCAGCCCUUGCGGGAAAAAAUAUUUCUACUUCCGUCUACUGUAUGUCAAGUCUGGGUAAGGUUCUUCGCGUUGCAUCGAAUUAAACCACAUGCUCCACUGCUUGUGCGGGCCCCCGUCAAUUCUUUUGAGUUUCACCCUUGCGAGUGUACUCCCCAGGCGGUAUACUUAUCGCGUUAGCUUCGACACAGUCGGGGUUGAGCCCAACUACAUCAAGUAUACAUCGUUUACGGCAAGGACUAC